GUGAAAGUUUCCAAGGGCGCAUGGUGGAUGCCUUGGCAACAGGAGCCGAAGAAGGACGUGGGAAUCUGCGAUAAGCCUGGUGGAGUCGAUAACCGGACGUUGAGACCAGGAUUUCCGAAUGGGGAAACCCCGCACGACGUGUCGUGUGACCCCCGGUUGAACACAUAGACCGGGUGGAGGGAACGUGGGGAAGUGAAACAUCUCAGUACCCACAGGAAGAGAAAACAAAAGUGAUUCCGUUAGUAGUGGCGAGCGAACGCGGAUGGGGCUAAACCGUAUGUGUGUGAUACCCGGCAGGGGUUGCAUGUGCGGUGUUGUGGGCCCCUCCUUGUCAUGUCUGCCGGCAUGGCGCAGUGAGGUGCGGGCAUAUAGACGAACCAGUGUGGAUGCUGGACCGUAGAGGGUGAGAGUCCCGUAGUCGAAAUGUGUUCCGCCGCUGUUGGGGGGUUGCCCGAGUAGCACGGGGCCCGAGGAAUCCCGUGUGAAUCUGCCAGGACCACCUGGUAAGCCUGAAUACUACCUGUUGACCGAUAGCGGAUCAGUACCGUGAGGGAAUGGUGAAAAGUACCCCGGGAGGGGAGUGAAAUAGUACCUGAAACCAUGUGCCUACAAACCGUUGGAGCCUCCUUGUGGGGUGACAGCGUGCCUUUUGAAGAAUGAGCCUGCGAGUUAGUGAUACGUGGCGAGGUUAACCCGUGUGGGGAAGCCGUAGCGAAAGCGAGUCUGAAUAGGGCGAUUGAGUCGCGUGUCCUAGACCCGAAGCGGAGUGAUCUACCCAUGGCCAGGUUGAAGCGCGUGUAAGAGCGCGUGGAGGACCGAACCCACUUCAGUUGAAAAUGGAGGGGAUGAGCUGUGGGUAGGGGUGAAAGGCCAAUCAAACUCCGUGAUAGCUGGUUCUCCCCGAAAUGCAUUUAGGUGCAGCGUCACGUGUUUCUUCCCGGAGGUAGAGCUACUGGAUGGACGAUGGGCCCUACAAGGUUACUGACUUCAGCCAAACUCCGAAUGCCGGGAAGUGAGAGCGUGGCAGUGAGACUGUGGGGGAUAAGCUUCAUAGUCGAGAGGGAAACAGCCCAGACCACCGGUUAAGGCCCCUAAGCGUGUGCUAAGUGGGAAAGGAUGUGGAGUUGCUGAGACAACCAGGAGGUUGGCUUAGAAGCAGCCACCCUUGAAAGAGUGCGUAAUAGCUCACUGGUCAAGUGAUUCCGCGCCGACAAUGUAGCGGGGCUCAAGUACACCGCCGAAACCGUGGCAUUCAGUUUUGCUGGAUGGGUAGGGGAGCGUCGUUCACGAGGUGAAGCCAGCGGGUAACUUCUGGUGGAUUGUGGACGAGUGAGAAUGCAGGCAUGAGUAGCGAAAGACGGGUGAGAAACCCGUCCGCCGGAUGACUAAGGGUUCCAGGGUCAAGCUAAUCUGCCCUGGGUAAGUCGGGACCUAAGGCGAGGCCGACAGGCGUAGUCGAUGGACAACGGGUUGAUAUUCCCGUACCAGUGAAGAACCGUCCAUGUUGAGCCGGUGAUACUAACCGCCCGAACCAUCCCGAACCCCGUUUUUGACGGGGUCGGUGAUGGGGAGCGCGGGACCUGAACCGGGGAGGCAAGCGCAUUAACGGGUGUGACGCAGGAAGGUAGCCGGGCCGGGCAAUGGAAAUGACCUGGUCUAAGGGUGUAGGGCUGCCGGUAGGUAAAUCCGCCGGCUGUAUGCCUGAGACCUGAUGGGCGCCCACAUGGUGGGUGAUCCGGUGAUCCUAUGCUGCCUAGAAAAGCAUCGGCGCGAGGUUCAAACUGCCCGUACCC
rnacentral:rRNA from 1 species